UACGGGGGGGGCAAGCGUUGUUCGGAAUUACUGGGCGUAAAGGGCUCGUAGGCGGCCAACUAAGUCAGACGUGAAAUCCCUCGGCUUAACCGGGGAACUGCGUCUGAUACUGGAUGGUUUGAGUUUGGGAGAGGGAUGCGGAAUUCCAGGUGUAGCGGUGAAAUGCGUAGAUAUCGGGAGGAACACCAAUGGCGAAGGCAGCUCGCUGGGACGGUACUGACGCUGAGGCGCGAAAGCGUGGGGAGCAAACAGG
rnacentral:rRNA from 1 species